AUUCUACUCCCUCCGUUGCACAAUACAUGCCUUCUAUUUGUCAAAAUAUAUAUAUAUGUAUCUAGACAUGUCUUAGUAUAUAGGUACAUCCAUUUUUGGACAAAUGGAAGUCAAGUAUUUUGGAACGGAGGGAGUACACA
rnacentral:pre_miRNA from 1 species